UGUGCGCUCAGAUCCCAGCUAUCUGAGGAUAUGUGAAAUGUCUGUGUCUUAUGUGUAAAAAGUGACUUUAUGUAUUUUAAAGUGUUUUGUGUCUUUUUGCAACCAUGUGCUUAAUGGAGUCUUGUGUCUGUCCUGGGAGAUAAUUGAAUUACUCUCCAGGAUAGAAGACACUGAAACUGGUUUGGGCCAGAAAGCCAUGCUUCAUUUAGUCACAAAGGACUUUCCCUUAACUUUUGAACCCCUGGUCUGAUUCGUGCCAUUUUUUAAUAUGUUGUUCCCCUGAAUGGAUUAAUUAUGAAAAUGUAUGUUUUAUGUUUGUGACAUGUAUAUUUUAGAAGUUAUAAAUAUUGUGUAAAAACUGUAUUCCUCUGCCGGUGAUAAUGAGAUUACCCAUUG
rnacentral:lncRNA from 1 species